rnacentral:tRNA from 2 species
GCCGAAAUGGUGGAAUUGGUAGACACAAGGGACUUAAAAUCCCUUGCUCGCAAGGGCGUGCGGGUUCAAGCCCCGCUUUCGGCA